rnacentral:rRNA from 1 species
CAAACUGAAGAUGGCGACCGGCGCACGGGUGAGUAACACGUAUCCAACCUGCCGAUAACUCCGGAAUAGCCUUUCGAAAGAAAGAUUAAUACCGGAUAGUAUACGAAUAUCGCAUGAUAUUUUUAUUAAAGAAUUUCGGUUAUCGAUGGGGAUGCGUUCCAUUAGUUUGUUGGCGGGGUAACGGCCCACCAAGACUACGAUGGAUAGGGGUUCUGAGAGGAAGGUCCCCCACAUUGGAAUUGAGACACGGUCCAA